GGCAUGCCUUACACAUGCAAGUCGAACGGCAGCACGGGUGCUUGCACCUGGUGGCGAGUGGCGAACGGGUGAGUAAUACAUCGGAACAUGUCCUGUAGUGGGGGAUAGCCCGGCGAAAGCCGGAUUAAUACCGCAUACGAUCCACGGAUGAAAGCGGGGGACCUUCGGGCCUCGCGCUAUAGGGUUGGCCGAUGGCUGAUUAGCUAGUUGGUGGGGUAAAGGCCUACCAAGGCGACGAUCAGUAGCUGGUCUGAGAGGACGACCAGCCACACUGGGACUGAGACACGGCCCAGACUCCUACGGGAGGCAGCAGUGGGGAAUUUUGGACAAUGGGCGAAAGCCUGAUCCAGCAAUGCCGCGUGUGUGAAGAAGGCCUUCGGGUUGUAAAGCACUUUUGUCCGGAAAGAAAUCCCUGGCUCUAAUACAGUCGGGGGAUGACGGUACCGGAAGAAUAAGCACCGGCUAACUACGUGCCAGCAGCCGCGGUAAUACGUAGGGUGCGAGCGUUAAUCGGAAUUACUGGGCGUAAAGCGUGCGCAGGCGGUCUGUUAAGACAGAUGUGAAAUCCCCGGGCUCAACCUGGGAACUGCAUUUGUGACUGGCAGGCUAGAGUAUGGCAGAGGGGGGUAGAAUUCCACGUGUAGCAGUGAAAUGCGUAGAGAUGUGGAGGAAUACCGAUGGCGAAGGCAGCCCCCUGGGCCAAUACUGACGCUCAUGCACGAAAGCGUGGGGAGCAAACAGGAUUAGAUACCCUGGUAGUCCACGCCCUAAACGAUGUCAACUAGUUGUUGGGGAUUCAUUUCCUUAGUAACGUAGCUAACGCGUGAAGUUGACCGCCUGGGGAGUACGGUCGCAAGAUUAAAACUCAAAGGAAUUGACGGGGACCCGCACAAGCGGUGGAUGAUGUGGAUUAAUUCGAUGCAACGCGAAAAACCUUACCUACCCUUGACAUGGUCGGAAUCCUGAAGAGAUUCGGGAGUGCUCGAAAGAGAACCGGCGCACAGGUGCUGCAUGGCUGUCGUCAGCUCGUGUCCUGAGAUGUUGGGUUAAGUCCCACAACGAGCGCAACCCUUGUCCUUAGUUGCUACGCAAGAGCACUCUAAGGAGACUGCCGGUGACAAACCGGAGGAAGGUGGGGAUGAGGUCAAGUCCUCAUGGCCCUUAUGGGGAGGGGUUGGCACGUCAUACAA
rnacentral:rRNA from 1 species